rnacentral:rRNA from 1 species
GUCAUUGCGAUAGUAAUCCUGUUCAGUACGAGUCGAACCGCAGGUUCGGACACUUGGUUCAUGUGCUUGGUUGAGAGACCAGUGGUGAGAAGCUACCAUCCGUGGCAUUACGACUUAACGCCUCUAAGUCAGAAUCCCGUCUAAACAGUGCAAUGAU